CAGCAGCCGCGGUAAUACGGAGGGGGCUAGCGUUGUUCGGAAUUACUGGGCGUAAAGCGCACGUAGGCGGCUUGGUAAGUUAGAGGUGAAAGCCCGGAGCUCAACUCCGGAAUUGCCUUUAAGACUGCCGAGCUAGUAGGUGAGAGAGGUAAGUGGAAUUCCGAGUGUAGAGGUGAAAUUCGUAGAUAUUGGGAAGAACACCAGUGGCGAAGGCGGCUCACUGGACCGACACUGACGCUGAGGCGCGAAAGCGUGGGGAGCAAACAGGAUUAGAUACCCCAGUAGUCCCUGUCUCUUAUAU
rnacentral:rRNA from 1 species